CUCAUUUGUUUUAUAGUCUGGGUGGGAUGAAAUUCAGCAAACCCAACUUGCCUUUCAAUGUGGAGAAGAUUGGAGGCUGUUGACUGAACAUUUCUACUUGGAAUCUCUCUCAUAGUUUUACUGCAAGCAUCAGUCAAUUGCUCCGGAAGCUCUAAGUUUGCCUUUCACCGCCAUUUGCUGACUUCCACGAUGGAGGGGACUGCUAGGUGGAGAUGUGUGGCAUGCAGAGCUCUGGAUGAGGUGAUCAGCAAAUGUCCGAUGAUGGUAACAAUGAGGGCGGAACUCACAGGACUUUGCAGCAAAUGCUACACUCCCUGCAGGAUAACACCUGUGGCAGGUUUGGGAGCUUCCAGUCGAAGAUCACUUAGCCCAGUGCUUUGGACUUCUGGUCGGCAGCACAUCAGGGCUUACCUCCUGGCUGGGAUGCCAAAGAAAGAGAGGAAGAGGAUAGAGUCCCGAAUCCCCUGGAGAGCAUUCCUCCAAUGACCUACAGACUUCACCUCUCAAAGAUUCUCUCUCUCUCCCAGUAGUCCCACCCCGGGGAUCAGGCCCGUGACAUACAGGCCUGUGGGGAGCACAUGGCCAAGACCUGGCACACUCACUGGGGAGUUUUAAGCAGCUUUUAUCCAGUGUUCAUCAGAAUGUUAUGUCUUUGGGGACGUCUGACAGGAAGAGAUCUGUCAGGCUUUGUGUCACCCAGUUCUGUGAACAACUUCUUUCACUUCUGAUUCCUGUUAGCACUUUGGAAAACACAAAUUUGAACUGAAGAGGAUUCCUUUGCCCAUUCUGGUGUCCUUGCCCAUUAUGGCUUUUUAACAAUAAGGCACUGCUCCUGGCCCGGGGUUUUCACUAAAGAACCUCGGCCACUUGCGUGUUUCUCCCCGUUCCUCCAUUUUGCUCACAAUGUUGCAUCAUUAUCGUUUGAAUACAUUUAUUUCUUCCUACGUGUUAGUGGGGUAGGCUAACUGCUCUCCUUAAUAAACCUAAAAAUUAUAUACCGGUUCACACUUCACAGCAGUGUGUUUCUUCCUGGUUUCAUAACAGCGAGGGCAGGUUAAUACGAUAGCAGAUAUCCUUCUUCCACACAGUCAUUCAGGGACCCAGGCCGAUGGAAGUUUUUUGAUGUUUUCAAUCUGUGGUUUCCAGCUUGCCCUGGGACUCUUCUCCACCCGACCCAGACAAAAGAGGAAGAGAGAGUGGAGAAGUGUACGAUAUGCACGUGUGUGCACCUGGAUGAAGUCAGGGGCCAAGGCCACAAGACGUCCAACAGCUCUGCUCCCAUGAAGAGAUGGAAAUUGUCUCAUGGCUUCAUCUAAGUGCAAGGAGGUUAGGAAAUGUGGUCCCUGGAUGUAGAGCUUCCCCUGACUGACAUUCUACGCUGUGGAAGAGUUACAGAAGUCUCUUGGACAAUGACUGAUUUCUGCUGUAUCACCAGUUCUUUGGAGGAAAAAUAAGUUUUAAUUCAUUUAUCUUUAUGGGUCUCAUAAAUAUAUUGUGGCGCUGGUAUAAAAUACACAGUCAUUUACAGAGACAGUGGUCCAAUUUGAAGUUGCAUUUCCCCCCACGGUUUAUCCAAAGGGGGCCUCAAGCAAAGGCGAAUUGAAUGAUAGGGAUAAGACUUUUAGGGUUUUUAUCGGCAAGUGACGAAAAGUUCCUUCUACAGUUCUUCAUUGUGCUUUUGGCCUGGAACCUCCCCAAAAAAGGCUGAAUGCUGUCAAACAUCUUCUGGGUCAUAAAUCACACAGAAGCACGGUGAGCACUAAAUCAAUAGAGCUUCUAAUUUUUGAAAAAGUGGGAAGGUGCUUACGAAACCCUGCUGGGGAAAAAGAAGGCCAUUGGCAGCUUGCCCCGUUUAUCCUGAUUUGGAUUCACGCUUGGAGGCUUCUCUGCUCCCUGGAAGCCCUUUUGCUCAGAUGGCAACAGGGAAAAUGCUGAAAUCAGCAGUCCUUGGACACCUGAUUUCCCCACAUUAUCUUGUCCCAGCCACAGUUCAUUUUGCAAUUGGAACUGACGGGGAGAGGAGUUUACAGUGUGCUCCUUUUCUGGAGGAGGGAGAGGAGGUGGGAGCUGGAGCAGAAAAGAGCAUUUAUCCUCUGCGACACAUCCCCUGCCAAAUGUGAUUGUCAUACCUUUUUGGAGAAAUAAAGAAUUUUAGGUGCCUAUUC